AGAAUUGGGACAGCCUUGCAAAUGCAGGUCACCUAGGUCUUUCUCUGCGUCCUUGCUCUGCUCAGAUUCGCUGGCUCCUGGAUGAUGAGAUUGUGUCUGCGCUGCGCCACUCGCAGGUCAUCAGCACCUCCAUCCUGCACCGAGUGGCCACCCACAUCUAUAACUCCAAGGGACGGCCCAGCUGCCACAGCGAGGUGGUGCUACUCCAGUUUGUCUUUGGACCUGAGCACUCUCUGGAGAAGUUCAAGGAGGAGUUCAGAAGAAUGGCUCUGCCAGGCUACAUGCUUAAUGCAGAAGGCAGUGACUACCACUACAUCUCCAUCAGCCGCCUGCACUCCAGGCGGGCAGCUCCAAACCUUUCGGGGACACCCUGCUUGCAGCAGCCAUCUGGAGGGGGUACCAGGACAGCCCUGGGCCAGGCAGGCCAGGAGGGGAGCAGUGAAGCAGAGGCAGAGGGCUCUGAGCUACACCAUGCAAGCUGUGUCCUCCCAGAAGAAGCCCGGGGUCUCUGGGGGUGGCCAGAGAGUGAGACACGCAUUGUGCCAGACACAGGAGACCCCGUAGGUGGGGGCAGCCAAACCCAGGAUGAGGUCCCAGGAGAAGCGCUGAGCCUUGACCAGAGCAGAGCACCUGGCCAUGACUCCCUGGAGGAGGCAGCUCCAGAGACAACCAUACAGUCACUGCCAUCCUCAUCCUCCGAAAAGGGCAACAGUGAGAAAUCACCAUUGGUGACACCAUCUGCAGCAAGCCUGUCUGACUCCGUAACACAGGGCAGGGAAGGUAGGAGCUGCAAAUGUGAGCAGGGUGUACCUCAGCCUCGGGAACUUUCAAGGGAGGAGCCCAGUUCUGGAUGUGGCAUACAAAAUAUGACUGCUACUCCUGUUCCAGUCCCUAAACACCAGAAUUGGUACCCAGGA
rnacentral:lncRNA from 1 species